rnacentral:lncRNA from 1 species
AAGGGAGCUGUUGCGCAAAGCAAGUGUGGCUGACUCCCAGGUUCUCCGCGUUCAGCCACCUUGGAUGUUGUUCGAGAGACAAAAAUGUGGCUUUCCCUUCCUGCUGCGCCUUCACACGGACCCCAUGUUCAAAUUCACGUGCAUUCCGGCUUAUUCUGCGUGGGUUUGAGGGAGGAGAGAUUUGCCUUAGCCACCAGAAACCGUGCAGAGCUGUCCUUGCCAUAAAAUGUCCCUUCCCUGCAGGGCAAAGGUGGUAAGGACACUGGAGCUCAGGCACCUGCCUGGCGGAGGUCUACAGCUGACAUCUAAGCCUGCCGCAAGACUUUUGAAAAGUCAGAAGCACCAUCGUAUCUGAGACAUUUUCUGAUUUUAGCACUGGUAAAUGAACCUGUAAGCAAUCAAUCCAUCAGUCGCAGGCACCAGCUGCGGUUGCUGCAUGUACUUAUCUUCGUGACAGUGCUCAGUGUGAUUUAAGUGUAUUAAAUUAAAUCACAUUCCUUGAAGCAUCAACAUGGAGGGACAGCUCUUCUACACACACACCUUUUUUCUUACACACAACUCAUUUUCCCUGGGAUUCUAGAAGGUAAGAUGAGGGGAUCCCUUCUCUAACAUACAAACCUGAAAACCACAGACCAGGUGUCAAAACGGAUGCAAAACAUUUCCUUAGCACUCAGCUCUGCGUUGUGAAAACCAUCAUGCUUUCUUCAGAAAUUACUGCGUUGCCACUGAAAUUUCAGACACUUUACAUUAGGAAAAAAGGGACAUGGUCAAAAGGGGUUGAGGGUGAAAGUAAUAUGGGCGGAUGGAAAUUCAGUUUGUAACACUGAACAGUAGCUCCAUAUUUCUUCAGAAUUCCUCCUGACCCCCGAGUGCAGAGGGGACAAGAAUGUCUCUUCCUUUUAUAAGUUUUAUAAACUUAUAAAAAAAAAAAAGCCAUCUUUCACGGAGCAAACUAUCAAAGGACAAACUGAGGGCGCCAAGGACCAUCUUUCUUCUUUGGAAAUGGAUAUUUAAUGUGUCAACAGCUUUUAUUUGAGGAGAACAAUAUAUACUUUUUUUAUUCUGUUGUUUCAAGGAGGCCUUAAGGAAAUAUCACUUGGUAAGGAGAUUAUUCUCAAAGUCAAGGUGUGUAGAAUAUAUCCUGGUGGUUUGCAGUGCCAAACGCUGAUCACUGUGUUAUUCCUUUGUUCUUUCAGAAAAGUAAGGCAGCAAUGCUACCUUUUAAAUGGAAGAUCCUAAAAGCUCCUAACUGGGAGGAAAUUUCUUACUAAGCAGCAGAGGGGGGAAAAAAUCGCAUGGAUUUAUUCUACUGUAAAAGUUCUAAAGGAGAGGAUGCUUUCUGGUUCUGCCCUACUUUUAAAUUUUUUUUUUCUUUUGCAAUUUUUAGUACUCUAUAAUUUGUCACUCCAUCUGUCAAAGAUGAGUUUCCUUUUCCUCGUGAUACAUUCAUUUUAGAACCUGUUGUAGUCACUGUGACUGUUUUUAAACUUGGUUUUGAAGAUGCCUGUUCAUUACAGUAUUUGCCCAGAUAUAGACGAGUGCUACCCUGUGAAUUGACUUCGCACUGAAUUUUAUUUCCUUUGAGAAGAGAAAUGAAAUUACUGUACCCAAAGGAAAAUAAAAUGUGGAGUCCGUUUCA